rnacentral:rRNA from 1 species
AGAGUUUGAUCCUGGCUCAGGAUGAACGCUGGCGGCGUGCCUAAUACAUGCAAGUCGAGCGAACAGACGAGGAGCUUGCUCCUCUGACGUUAGCGGCGGACGGGUGAGUAACACGUGGAUAACCUACCUAUAAGACUGGGAUAACUUCGGGAAACCGGAGCUAAUACCGGAUAAUAUUUCGAACCGCAUGGUUCGAUAGUGAAAGAUGGCUUUGCUAUCACUUAUAGAUGGACCUGCGCCGUAUUAGCUAGUUGGUAAGGUAACGGCUUACCAAGGCAACGAUACGUAGCCGACCUGAGAGGGUGAUCGGCCACACUGGAACUGAGACACGGUCCAGACUCCUACGGGAGGCAGCAGUAGGGAAUCUUCCGCAAUGGGCGAAAGCCUGACGGAGCAACGCCGCGUGAGUGAAGAAGGAUUUCGGUUCGUAAAGCUCUGUUGUUAGGGAAGAAUGAUUGUGUAGUAACUAUACACAGUAGAGACGGUACCUAACCAGAAAGCCACGGCUAACUACGUGCCAGCAGCCGCGGUAAUACGUAGGUGGCAAGCGUUGUCCGGAAUUAUUGGGCGUAAAGCGCGCGCAGGUGGUUUAAUAAGUCUGAUGUGAAAGCCCACGGCUCAACCGUGGAGGGUCAUUGGAAACUGUUAAACUUGAGUGCAGGAGAGAAAAGUGGAAUUCCUAGUGUAGCGGUGAAAUGCGUAGAGAUUAGGAGGAACACCAGUGGCGAAGGCGGCUUUUUGGCCUGUAACUGACACUGAGGCGCGAAAGCGUGGGGAGCAAACAGGAUUAGAUACCCUGGUAGUCCACGCCGUAAACGAUGAGUGCUAAGUGUUGGAGGGUUUCCGCCCUUCAGUGCUGCA